rnacentral:rRNA from 1 species
UGAACGCUGGCGGUAUGCUUAACACAUGCAAAGUCGAACGGAAACGAUACUAGCUUGCUAGUAGGCGUCGAGUGGCGGACGGGUGAGUAACGCGUAGGAAUCUGCCUGAUAGUGAAGAUAGCCCGAAGAAAUUCGGAUUAAUACCGCAUAAUCUAUUCGUAGUAAAGUGGAGGACUUUCGAGCCUCACGCUAUCAGAUGAGCCUGCGUAAGAUUAGCUAGUUGGUAGGGUAAAAGCCUACCAAGGCAACGAUCUUUAGCUGGUCUGAGAGGAUGAUCAGCCACAUCGGGACUGAGACACGGCCCGAACUCCUACGGGAGGCAGCGGUGGGGAAUAUUGGACAAUGAAAGCAACCCUGAUCCAGCAAUACCGCGUGUGUGAAGAAGGCCUGAGGGUUGUAAAGCACUUUCAAUUGUGAAGAAAAGUUAACGGUUAAUAACCGUUAGCCUUGACGUUAACUUUAGAAGAAGCACCGGCUAACUCCGUGCCAGCCGCCGCGGUAAUUCA